ensembl:lncRNA
UUUUGUUAAGACGGUAGGUAGAUCUCAUAUUAAGUGUUCUUGCCAUGAAAACAAAAACAAAAUCCUAAAAAGAUAAACAAACAUACAAAAGGCAUGGGGAAACUUUUGGAGGUGAUGGAUAUGUUCAAUAGGUUGGAGGUGAUGGGUAUGUUCAGUAGGGUGGAGGUGAUGGGUAUGUUCAGUAGGGUGGAGAUGAUGGGUAUGUUCAGGAGGUGAUGGGCAUGUUCAGUAGGGUGGAGGUGAUGGGCAUGUUCAGUAGGGUGGAGGUGAUGGGCAUGUUGAGUAGGUGAUGGGUAUGUUCAGUAGGUGAUGGGUAUGUUCGGUAGGGUGGAGGUGAUGGGUAUGUUCAGGAGGUGAUGGGUAUGUUCAGUAGGGUGGAGGUGAUGGGCAUGUUGAGUAGGUGAUGGGCAUGUUCAGUAGGUGAUGGGUAUGUUCAGUAGGUGAUGGGUAUGUUUGGUAGGGUGGAGGUGAUGGGUAUGUUCAGGAGGUGAUGGGUAUGUUCAGUAGGUGAUGAGUAUGUUCAGUAGGUGAUGGGUAGGUUGAGUAGGUGAUGGGUAUGUUUGGUAGGGUGGAGGUGACGGGUAUGUUCAGGAGGUGAUGGGUAUGUUCAGUAGGGUGGAGGUGAUGGGUAUGUUCAGUAGGUGAUGGGUAUGUUUGGUAGGGUGGAGGUGAUGGGUAUGCUCAGUAGGUGAUGAGUAUGUUCAGUAGGUGAUGGGUAUGUUCACUAGGUGAUGGGUAUGUUCAGGAGGUGAUGGGUAUAUUUGGUAGGGUGGAGGUGAUGGGUGUGUUCAGGAGGUGAUGGGCAUGUUCAGUAGGGUGGAAGUGGUUUUAUGAGGCUGUUCAUGCUUGGCCGCUCAGUUAUGUCCUACUCUG